rnacentral:rRNA from 1 species
CGGACGGGUGAGGAACACAUCGGAAUCUACCCUGUCGUGGGGGACAACGUAGGGAAACUUACGCUAAUACCGCAUACGACCUUCGGGUGAAAGCCGGGGACUCGCAAGAGCCCGGCGCGACUGGAUGAGCCGAUGUCCGAUUAGCUAGUUGGCGGGGUAAUGGCCCACCAAGGCGACGAUCGGUAGCUGGUCUGAGAGGACGACCAGCCACACUGGAACUGAGACACGGUCCAG